CCCCAUCCUCUCUCAUGUCCUAGUUCCGAUGCUCCCACAGAGACCCUGCUUGUCCAGCUAUGCAGCGACCGUCCCAGAUGGGGACCACUCUGGUGCAAUCGGUGGAGGUCCCGAUAGACAAGGACGGACAGGGAAAAGCUCCUUCUUCGUGGAAAGUACGCACUCUUUUCUACCCUUCUGCCCCGCAGAGAAGCUUUCUGUCUAGGACGCUGAAUUCGAGAGAGGACCUCGGCCGCGCUCUACCGCACGCCUACCAUCUACUUACGCGCGUGAACGGGGUGUGGCUGCCGCCCUUCGGUGACUCAAGGUCUGGUUUCCUUGCUUAAGGAGGUGGCAAUUGGACACGACUUGAGUUCUCUGAAGACGUGGUGCCCGCGGAGGAGUCGGGGCAGAGAAGCCUCAAUGGCGGUCUGUGUUUGGAAGCCCUGCAGGGGCCCAGAGGACUCAGAUGAUGCUGGGACGGGGCCACCAUUGUAAGGAGCCCGGGGGAGCUCCUCCGGGACCUCCCGCCCACGGAGGGUUCACCAACCUCACCGGCGACUGAUG